GACCCAGCCACAGUAUUUCCUUGUGUUUCCAUUCACUAAUCAGGAAAUAAUAGAGAAAACUCACCAUGGAGUUUGUGCUUGGCUGGGUUUUCCUUGUUGCUCUUUUAAAAGGUGUCGAGUGUGAGGUGCAGCUGGUGGAGUCUGGGGUAGACCUGGUGAAGCCUGGGGGGGGGGAGAGGAGCCCCAGUCCUGGGAUUUCCAGGUGUACACAUUCACUGAGCAGGACAGAACACAGUGAACUCACCAUGGAGUCUGUGCUUGGCUGGGUUUUCCUUGUUGCUCUUUUAAAAGGUGUCCACUAUGAGGUGCAGCUGGUGGGGUCUGGGGGAGACCUAGUGAAGCCUUGGGGGUCCCUGAGACUCUCCUGUGCAGCCUCUGGAUUCACCUUCAGUAGCAAUGACAUGAGCUGGGUCUGCCAGGCUCCAGGGAAGGGGCUGCAGUGGGUCGCAGGUAUUAGCUAUGAUGGAAGUAGCACAUGCUACUCAGACUCUGUAAAGGGCUGAUUCACCAUCUCCAGAGAAAACAGCAAGAACACACUGUAUCUGCAGAUGAACAGCCUGAGAGCCGAGGACACGGCCGUGUAUUACUGUGCAAA